rnacentral:lncRNA from 1 species
UACUUCAUUUUCACUACAAGAAAUGCGCUGUUUACCGAAGGAUUAUUAUCGAAGACCUUUUGGCCGUCGGUAAAAAACAUUUACCGAAGGAUUAUCCCGACGGUCAUGUAGGAUGGUGUUUACCGAAGGUUUUUGCCCUUCGGUAUUGGGCAGCGAAUUUACCGAAGGCUUUUGCCUGUCGGUAUAAACAUUCACUUAAUGAAAUCAGAAUUUGGGAUUUCCCUCUUCCAUUUUCCCAAAUACUCUACUUGCGAAAGCUUCCCCCAAACUUCCCCCCGAUUUCCAUUCUCCCUCUCCCUAAUCUCUGUUUCCCUCUCUCGUUCACAAUCCGC